GUUUCCACCCGCAACAGCUGAACUUGCUCAUCAACACUGCUACAAAUACAUUAACGUCAGUUAUGCAUAAUCCAUGCCAUUCCUGUCGAUUGUGCAACAGUUGAGCGCCUGCAGCUUUUUGAAACUUCCAAAAAGAAGAGGUAAUAUUUUUAUUCAGUAAAAGCUACGUGGCAAUGUCAGGUCUAUGCUCUUUCCUAAAGUAUGGAUUCAUUUCUUUGUGCGGUGGAGCCAUUAUUGUACUCCUGUGCGUAGGAAUCAAGACCGCAUAUCAACCACUUUUUAAUCCAGAGAAGGUUUAUAAGAAAUAUGUCCACCUGACUGGCAGCACCGCACAGG